AGGCAGCAGUGGGGAAUAUUGGACAAUGGGGGCAACCCUGAUCCAGCCAUGCCGCGUGUGUGAAGAAGGCCUUCNGGUUGUAAAGCACUUUAAGCGAGGAGGAAGGUUUUUAGUUUAAUACACUAAAGAAUUGACGUUACUCGCAGAAUAAGCACCGGCUAACUCUGUGCCAGCAGCCGCGGUGAUACAGAGGGUGCAAGCGUUAAUCGGAAUUACUGGGCGUAAAGCGCGCGUAGGCGGUUUGUUAAGUCGGAUGUGAAAUCCCUGGGCUCAACCUAGGCACUGCAUCCGAUACUGGCUAACUAGAGUGUGGGAGAGGAAGGUAGGAUUCCAGGUGUAGCGGUGAAAUGCGUAGAGAUCUGGAGGAAUACCGAUGGCGAAGGCAGCCUUCUGGCCUAACACUGACGCUGAGGUGCGAAAGCAUGGGGAGCAAACAGGAUUAGAUACCCUGGUAGUCCAUGCUGUAAACGAUGUCAACUAGCCGUUGGGGACCUUGAGUCUUUAGUGGCGCAGCUAACGCGAUAAGUUGACCGCCUGGGGAGUACGGUCGCAAGACUAAAACUCAAAUGAAUUGACGGGGGC
rnacentral:rRNA from 1 species